rnacentral:rRNA from 1 species
UACAGAGGGGGCAAGCGUUGUUCGGAAUUACUGGGCGUAAAGGGCGCGUAGGCGGCCUGUUAAGUCGAACGUGAAAUCCCCGGGCUCAACCCGGGAACUGCGUCCGAUACUGGCAGGCUUGAAUCCGGGAGAGGGAUGCGGAAUUCCAGGUGUAGCGGUGAAAUGCGUAGAUAUCUGGAGGAACACCGGUGGCGAAGGCGGCAUCCUGGACCGGCAUUGACGCUGAGGCGCGAAAGCCAGGGGAGCAAACGGG